rnacentral:rRNA from 1 species
GACGAACGCUGGCGGCGUGCUUAACACAUGCAAGUCGAACGGAAAGGCGCUGCGUUUGCGGGGCGCUCGAGUGGGGAACGGGGGAGUAACACGUGAGUAACCCGCCCCUGACUUAGGGAUAACUUCAGGAAACUGGGGCGAAUACCCGAGAGGAGCUCCUGCUGCACGGUGGUGGAUGGAAAGAUUCGGCGGUUGGGGAUGGACUCGCGGCUUAUCAGCUUGAUGGUGGGGUAGUGGCUUACAAAGGCUUUGACGGGUAGCCGGCCUGGGAGGGUGACCGGCCACAUUGGGACUGCGGUACGGCCCAGACUCCUACGGGCGGCAGCAGUGGGGAAUAUUGCGGAAUGGGCGGACGCCUGAUGCAGCAACGCCGCGUGCGGGAUGCCGGCCUUCGGGUUGUAAACCGCUUUCGCCUGUGCCGAAGCGUGAGUGACGGUACUGGGUAAAGAAGCACCGGCUAACUACGUG